UCAAGGCAGCGAGCGCCCGCGAGCGUGCGUCCCCUUGCCCGCCGGCCUGCGGGCGCACCGCGUCGUCCUCCCCCGCGGAGGUCGGGAGUGGUGGGGGGCUCGCUCGUCUUCCCUCGAGUUAGUUCCCUCCUCGUCCGGGUUGCGUCGAGGUCGCCCUACACCGGUCUCUUUCCCUGACUGCACGGCGCCGGGUCCCGUCCCGCCGCACGGCCACCUCCCCCGGCCCCUCGCCACAUCCCUCCGCGUGGGGAGAGCCCGAGUGGGGAGAGCCCGGAGCCAGAGGAAGCGAGCUCUGAGAAGGCAGAACAGAGCAGCGGGCAAAUUACAGUCCAGAUGAACCCGCCCCCAUUGUGAAAUUCUCACGGUUUCUACUACUCUGGGCAUCAAAACAUAUAUGAAGUGGCCACGGCCCCAAACUACCCUCCAUCAAGCUCAACUGCCCAGGCCCCAGGCAUAGUAAAUAAAUACACGCUUUGCACAGAGCAGUAACAGCAAGGGACCAUCCCACAAGGAGACAAGUACACCAUUAUACAAUGGUUCCUUGCACAUAUAAAUGCCCGUGCUUGACAGCGGGCCCCAGCACGGUGGCUUGCUUGUGACCCUCCAUGGUGACCAAGCACUGAGCCACCCUACCCCUGCUGCCAAAUGGACAUGAUAUCCCAGUGCGUUCAGCCUGCAGCCAACACCUGCUACAAGUCCCCUACAAACCUAUAAAGCUGGCCAAUGGGGGUGUGGGAGGGGACAGACACUCAACAGAGUAAGGAGGACACAGGUUAAUUUUCAGUUCAGCUUGAAGAUCCAGACCUUCUUUGAACCAUGAGAUACCGUUUCUGCAGUUGGGAAGCUGAGGCACCCAAGAUCACUCAUCCUCUGGGAAAGCCACGAAACCACUACCAGCCCCCCACUCCCAGACCAGUGGUGUCUUGUGAGGACUACCUUACCAGGAGUGGACCACCUUGAGGCCUCCCAGGACCAACAGCAAUGGCACUGUUAUCCCCAUUUAACCCCCAAGGGUAAGUGAGAGGAACAUGGCUCAAGUCAGAAUACCCUGCAGACGAUUCAAUUAUUGUUUUUUUCCCACAUAUAUUUAAUGAGAACCUUCCUACAAGAGCAAGUGUCAGAGUCCCAGCAGCAGGAGAUGAGCAGAAAACAGAGACACAGGUUCCCCUAAGGAGUGGAUCUGAAGGUUAUCUGAAAAGAAGCAUCUGCAACAUUCCCCACCAACCUGGUCCAGGGUCUCUAACAUCUUUAGCCAGGAUGCUCAUCUCUGUAUUUAAUGAGUUCCUCCCCCUCCCCUGCCUUCUCUUGUUUUAUCAUUAGUAGAUGAACUUGAGGCUCCAGUUAUUUCAGUGGAAGAAGAAGGAGGCAGAAACUGCUGGUGCAUCCGAAUUCUGCCAAGUUUCACUAACAGUGUGGUCGAGAACCAUAUAAAGGAGGUUGAUGAAGGGACAUGAUGAGAGAAAAAGACAACGUGUAUCAAGGAGACUGGGGGGAAAAUGGAUUCAUUCUCAUUAAGGUAUAAGCGCAGUAGACCACAGAGUAUGAUGUUAUGUGAAACUGUGGUCUAGCCAAGGAAAACACAAGGAAGCACGUGCAGUAGUGGAAACCAUAGCGAUGUGACGCUAAAGUUUUGCAAUAGUCUUCUCCACUUUGUCACUGCGUCUAAGUAAACUAAAACCGUGUCAAAUAUAUUCGGCACUUGCUGGGAAGUCAUUUCUCCAUCCUCUCUUCUUCCUUCUCAGUAGUACAUGUGACUGUAUUACGGAGACAUCCUUGCUUUCAAAAACAGUGCUGUGAGAACCCAGAAUAUGGGUCCUGCUUGCUCAAGAACCUGACCUCAGUCCUCAGAGUUGCAACCCAAAAUGACUCAGACCGCUGGGCCGGUGCGUGGGAGGUUUGAAAGCUGUAUUCCAAGAGCGAGGAACAGGCAGAGCACAUGUUGAAAACCACGUCACUUAUUUAGCAACAGUUAGUUUUUUUUUCAUCACCCCAUUUUCUUCAACCAGGUUUAAUUAAGAAAUGAGACUCAAAACAAGUACUUUUUCAUAGAUCAGAAAGCAGAGAGAAACAACCAACGUAUAGAGUGUUAACCCAAGAGAACAAGGCUGAGUAAAACGAAGUGGGGUAUCCUUGGCAAGGUGAGCUGGAUAAGAACACACACACACACAUAAAUGAGUAAAGGAUGAGCUGUGUGUGUGCUACACCUGUCUCAAGUGGUUUCUAAGGAAGGACGAAGAAAGGAAAUUGAACUGAGCCAACAUUGGACACUUUAUCUCACCUGACGGCUUAAACACACACGCCAGUUCCAACGUCUCUUUUCGUUGCCUGUGAAGCACCACAUGUGCUUUGCACAAGUCUAGAAACCGGAGCCGGAGUUUCUGGCUGUUGCUUAAACUUUGUAACCUUUCCAAGCUCACCUCCGGGCAGAUAUCUACUGAGCAGAUGGGAUGGUGAAAUUUCCCAAGGAAGCCGUUGGCUUGAACAACAAACGGGGCCACCCUAGAGAUGGGUCCACGAUGGGAAUGCCGUGCUGGCACUGAGGUGAGGUGGGAGGAGGGAGACUGUCUGCACUUGAUGGUGCCCACUGAUUAAGGAAGACCAGAGGACACCAAAGCUGUAGGCUGGUCCAUCUUGGGUCAGAGGUCAUUUUGGAUUUAAACGACUGGAAGGAGGAUAAAGACCAAUGACUUAGGCUGGUUCAGGGACCUACACUUGGGCAGAGUUGGAAAUUCAGUUUUAUUGAGGCACAUUCACUGAUCUGGGCCAUUAUUAGUUUCUUGGGUGUUGUCCACUUGCCUUUCAGACAGUCCCCACCCCGCCUCUCACCCUGUUCUGUGCUCCCAUGUGCUGGGGGAUGCAACAGAAUCCUUGAGCCUCUGGUUUGGGGUUGGCUUUGAGGCACUGAAAGGGGAUCACGGUGUAACAAAUGGGGCAUUCAGGAGGUUCUUCUUCCCAGUUUCCUACUUUCCAGAAUGGCUGUGGGAUAGCCACACUGUUCUGAUGAAGGCCCAGCUUGGGUGGGCGGCCCUUUUUGAUACAGCUCCCUUCCCUGGGUUCCAGAAACUGCUUCUUCAUGUAUGUUCAAAAGGACAAGAGGAGGGGCGCCUGGAUGGCUCAGUUGG